CAAGUAUUGGAAUUAUUUUUUCUUCUUUUCUGACAAAUACUUCAGCUGCUGUUAUAAAUAAUAUACAAUAUAGUGAAGUAACGAAGAAAUGUCUGGAUCAAAAUUGUGAAAAAUCGUAUUCAGAACUCUCUAAACGAAUUAAUAAAACGCUAAAUAAAAAUGCAAAUCCUUGUGACAACAUUCAAGAAUUUGUUUGUGGUCACUCUGGUUCUU